AUUGAACGCUGGCGGCAUGCCUUACACAUGCAAGUCGAACGGCAGCACGGGAGCAAUCCUGGUGGCGAGUGGCGAACGGGUGAGUAAUGCAUCGGAACGUGCCAUUGAGUGGGGGAUAACGUAGCGAAAGUUACGCUAAUACCGCAUAUUCUGUGCGCAGGAAAGCAGGGGAUCGCAAGACCUUGCGCUCUUUGAGCGGCCGAUGUCAGAUUAGCUAGUUGGUGAGGUAAAGGCUCACCAAGGCGACGAUCUGUAGCGGGUCUGAGAGGAUAAUCCCCCACACUGGCGACUGAGAUACGGGCCGAGACUCCUACGGGAGGGCAGCAGUAGGGAAGUAUUGGGCGAAUGGUCGCAAGAACUGACCCACGCCACUGCCGCGUGCAGGAAGGAAGGCGCUCAGCGUUGUAAACUGCUUUUAUUCAAGGAAAGAAAAGUUACUUGCGAGAACAA
rnacentral:rRNA from 1 species